GUCCUUGUAGCUUAAAAACAAAGCAUGGCACUGAAGAUGCCAAGACGGCACAUAACCCCCAAGGGUCAAG
rnacentral:tRNA from 1 species